AGUGAACGCUGGCGGCAGGCCUAAUACAUGCAAGUCGAACGGCAGCACAGUGGAGCUUGCUCCAUGGGUGGCGAGUGGCGGACGGGUGAGGAAUACAUGGGAAUCUGCCCAGUCGUGGGGGAUAACGUAGGGAAACUUACGCUAAUACCGCAUGCGCCCUUCGGGGGAAAGCCGGGGACCUUCGGGCCUGGCGCGAUUGGAUGAGCCCAUGUUCGAUUAGCUAGUUGGCGGGGUAAAGGCCCACCAAGGCGACGAUCGAUAGCUGGUCUGAGAGGAUGAUCAGCCACACUGGGACUGAGACACGGCCCAGACUCCUACGGGAGGUAGCAGUAGGGAAUAUUGGACAAUGGGCGCAAGCCUGAUCCAGCCAUGCCGCGUGAGUGAAGAAGGCCCUCGGGUUGUAAAGCUCUUUUGUCCGGGAAGAAAAGCAUCGGGCUAAUACCUCGGUGUUCUGACGGUACCGGAAGAAUAAGCACCGGCUAACUUCGU
rnacentral:rRNA from 1 species